rnacentral:rRNA from 1 species
UAGGGAAUCUUCGGCAAUGGACGGAAGUCUGACCGAGCAACGCCGCGUGAGUGAAGAAGGUUUUCGGAUCGUAAAGCUCUGUUGUUAGAGAAGAACGUUGGUAGGAGUGGAAAAUCUACCAAGUGACGGUAACUAACCAGAAAGGGACGGCUAACUACGUGCCAGCAGCCGCGGUAAUACGUAGGUCCCGAGCGUUGUCCGGAUUUAUUGGGCGUAACGCGAGCGCAGGCGGUUCUUUAAGUCUGAAGUUAAAGGCAGUGGCUUAACCAUUGUACUCUUUAGAAACUGGUGUGCUUAAGUGCAGAAGGGGAGGGUGGAAUUCCAUGUGUAGCGAUGAAAUACGUAGAUAUAUGGAGGAACGCCGGUGGCGAAAGCGGCUCUCUGGUCUGUAACUGACGCUGAGGAUCGAAAGCGUGGGGAGCAAACAGG